rnacentral:miRNA from 1 species
GUACCUCACAGUCAGCAGACCCUCCCUCCCAGACCCUCCCACCUCCUGGACAGCUCACUAAGAAUGCAGCUUCACAAUGAAUGUAAAAUGGAUGCUGUCCAGGAGGUGGGAGGGUCUGGGAGGGAGGGUCUGCUGCUGAUUGG